GAACGUACGCUGGCGGCACGCCUAACACAUGCAAGUCGAACGAAGUAGCAAUACUUAGUGGCAGACGGGUGAGUAACAUGUAGGUAUCUGCCCUUUGGCCUGGAAUAACACGAGGAAACUUGUGCUAAUACCGGAUAAGUCUUUACAGAGAAAGCUUUAUGCACCAUUGGAUGAGCCUGCACUUGAUUAGUUUGUUGGUGGGGUAAUGGCCUACCAAGACUGUGAUCAAUAGCUGAUUUGAGAGGAUGAUCAGCCACAUUGGGACUGAGACACGGCCCAAACUCCUACGGGAGGCAGCAGUGGGGAAUCUUGCACAAUGGAGGAAACUCUGAUGCAGCGAUGCCGCGUGAGUGAAGAAGGCCUUUGGGUUGUAAAGCUCUUUCGUCGGGGAAGAAAAUGACUGUACCCGAAUAAGAAGGUCCGGCUAACUUCGUGCCAGCAGCCGCGGUAAUACGAAGGGACCUAGCGUAGUUCGGAAUUACUGGGCUUAAAGAGUUCGUAGGUGGUUGAAAAAGUUAGUGGUGAAAUCCCAGAGCUUAACUCUGGAACUGCCAUUAAAACUUUUCAGCUAGAGUAUGAUAGAGGAAAGCAGAAUUUCUAGUGUAGAGGUGAAAUUCGUAGAUAUUAGAAAGAAUACCAAUUGCGAAGGCAGCUUUCUGGAUCAUUACUGACACUGAGGAACGAAAGCAUGGGUAGCGAAGAGGAUUAGAUACCCUCGUAGUCCAUGCCGUAAACGAUGUGUGUUAGACGUUGGAAAUUUAUUUUCAGUGUCGCAGCGAAAGCGAUAAACACACCGCCUGGGGAGUACGACCGCAAGGUUAAAACUCAAAUGAAUUGACGGGGACCCGCACAAGUAGUGGAGCAUGUGGUUUAAUUCGAAGAUACGCGCAGAACCUUACCAACACUUGACAUGUUCGUCGCGACUCUAAGAGAUUAGAGUUUUCGGUUCGGCCGGACGAAACACAGGUGCUGCAUGGCUGUCGUCAGCUCGUGUCGUGAGAUGUUGGGUUAAGUCCCGCAACGAGCGCAACCCUCACUUUUAGUUGCCAUCAUUAAGUUGGGCACUCUGAAAGAACUGCCAGUGAUAAGCUGGAGGAAGGUGGGGAUGACGUCAAGUCCUCAUGGCCCUUACGUGUUGGGCUACACACGUGCUACAAUGGUAUCUACAACAGGAAGCAAGACUGCGAAGUUAAGCAAAUCCCUAAAAGAUACCUCAGUUCGGAUUGCACUCUGCAACUCGAGUGCAUGAAGCUGGAAUUACUAGUAAUCGUGGAUCAGCGUGCCACGGUGAAUGCGUUCCCGGGUCUUGCACACACCGCCC
rnacentral:rRNA from 1 species